rnacentral:rRNA from 1 species
GACGAACGCUGGCGGCGUGCCUAAUACAUGCAAGUCGAGCGCAGGAAACUGACGGAACUCUUCGGAGGGAAGGCAGUGGAAUGAGCGGCGGACGGGUGAGUAACACGUAAGGAACCUGCCUCAAGGAUUGGGAUAACUCCGAGAAAUCGGAGCUAAUACCGGAUAGUUCAACGGACCGCAUGGUCCGCUGAUGAAAGGCGCUCCGGCGUCACCUUGAGAUGGCCUUGCGGUGCAUUAGCUAGUUGGUGGGGUAGUGGCCCACCGAGGCGACGAUGCAUAGCCGACCUGAGAGGGUGCUCGGCCACACUGGGACUGAGACACGGCCCAGACUCCUACGGGAGGCAGCAGUAGGGAAUCUUCCACAAUGGACGAAAGUCUGAUGGAGCAACGCCGCGUGAGUGAUGAAGGUUUUCGGAUCGUAAAACUCUGUUGUAAGGGAAGAACACGUACGAGAGGAAAUGCUCGUACCUUGACGGUACCUUACGAGAAAGCCACGGCUAACUACGUGCCAGCAGCCGCGGUAA